CAAGUCGAGAGCACCAACUUUGCAGUUUGCACCAAUCCCUGGCCUCUCUGAAAGGUCCAAGGCCCGAAUUGAGCCGCAUCAAAAAAUUACUUGAGAACUGCGACGCACCCUCCGAGCGACUCGGACCCAGAUUCGAACCUAAGCUCGUCGGACGGUCGAUUUUCGGGUUGAUUUCGGGGGCAAAAUGGCGGCGGAGACAUCCUCCUUGCUCGAAAGUACCCUUGCAUUUUCCAAUUCCUGAGUUCACUCACCUGCGGCGAAGUCGGUGUUGUGUCCUCGACGAUUUUGUCUGUUUCCAUUGUGCAAGGGGUGCGGUCAAAAAUCCCGUACCGUGCAGUCGGACGCUGACAAUCCGUCACCCAGUCCCUGAGUCGUCACUUUAUCAAAACUUUCAGCAGCCAGAAGUCUUGUUUCGUCGCUGUCUCUCUGACGUCAUUGACCUCGUCCAGCUCUCUUUCUCCAUCCCCACCACCAACCAACCAACCAACUCCACCGCCGCGAUUUGAGGCCCAUUUGCGGCCAAAAACAAGUUUCGCGCACCAUCUAACGUGCGACGAGUCAACUAUCAAAACAACCAGCCAAUCAGGAAGCGACAUUUGCAGCAGCGGCCAUUGGAAUUUUUACGUCACUUCCUGUUCCGACUUGUUUAACUUUUGAAAAACGCGAAUUUUGCAGGGCACGGCGGACAAAACUCCUGAAAAAUGCUGGCUGUUUCGAAGGUUUUGAGGUCUGGUGGCUGCUCCGUUCUGCAGCGCAGAGCCUUCAGGGUCAGCAAUGUCAUCUCUGGACCUCCAACUGUCCGCCUGCCCUUUGCCGAAAAGCUGGCCCAUGGCUUGACCAUUGCCGUCGGCCUCUUGGCCACCCCAGCUUACAUCCUGGGACAGCUGAGGACCUACACUGCAAAGUAGACAUCCAUUUGAUUCCAUGGAGUAGCAACCUGCAGAAUUUUUGAAGUAGCCACCGCACUGAUUGAAGCAGCCAUGACUGAUUUACUUUGCAUUAACUCGACUAAUUUGCAUCUAGUAAUUAACUCGGAACCUAAAAAAGCGAUGUCACACAAUUGACUCAAACGUUUCUAGUCUCAAAGUAAAUUAUAUAAAAAAAUUAACCUAAUUCCUUACAAUCGUAAAAAAUUGGCCAGUUCAGAAAGCCUGCUCAGUUGAACAACAGAUCUGAAUGAAAUGAUAAUUUGACAUCUUGACUGAGUAUUAAGUUAAGACUGUUUUUGGAAGGCUGUUAUGCUUUUGGCCUGUGAUAAUAUUGUUAGUACCCUUGACUUGUUCCUUUGAAUAAAAUUUAAUUGUUUAUGGA